GACGAACGCUGGCGGCGUGCCUAAUACAUGCAAGUAGAACGCACAGUUUAUACCGUAGCUUGCUACACCAUAGACUGUGAGUUGCGAACGGGUGAGUAACGCGUAGGUAACCUGCCUGGUAGCGGGGGAUAACUAUUGGAAACGAUAGCUAAUACCGCAUAAUAUUGAUUAUUGCAUGAUAAUUAAUUGAAAGGUGCAAUUGCACCACUACCAGAUGGACCUGCGUUGUAUUAGCUAGUAGGUGAGGUAACGGCUCACCUAGGCGACGAUACAUAGCCGACCUGAGAGGGUGAUCGGCCACACUGGGACUGAGACACGGCCCAGACUCCUACGGGAGGCAGCAGUAGGGAAUCUUCGGCAAUGGACGAAAGUCUGACCGAGCAACGCCGCGUGAGUGAAGAAGGUUUUCGGAUCGUAAAGCUCUGUUGUAAGAGAAGAACGGGUGUGAGAGUGGAAAGUUCACACUGUGACGGUAUCUUACCAGAAAGGGACGACUAACUACGUG
rnacentral:rRNA from 1 species